CGGGGCGUAGCGCAGUCUGGUAGCGCACCUGCUUUGGGAGCAGGGAGUCGGAGGUUCAAAUCCUCUCGCCCCGACCA
rnacentral:tRNA from 3 species